rnacentral:rRNA from 1 species
GACGAACGCUGGCGGCGUGCUUAACACAUGCAAGUCGAACGGAAAGGCCCUGCUGUUGUGUGGUGCUCGAGUUGCGAACGGGUGGGUAAGUAGUGAGUAACCUGCCCGUGACUUUGGGAUAACUUCAGGAAACUGAGGCUAAUACCGGAUAGGAGCGCCUGCUUCAUGGUGGGGGUGGGAAAUUUUCGGCGGUUGGGGCUGGACUGGCGGCUCAGCAGCUGGGUGGUGGGGUAGUGGCUUACCACGGCUUGGACGGGUAGCCGGCUUGAGAGGGUGACCGGCCCCAUUGGAACAGAGGUAGGGGCCAGACUCCUACGGGCGGAAGCAGUGGGGAACAGUCCACAAUGGGCGGCAGCAUGAUGGAGCAACGCCGCGUGCGGGAUGACGGCCUUCGGGUUGUAAACGGCUUUCGCCUGUGACGAAGCGUGAGUGACGGUAAUGGGUAAAGAAGCACCGGCUAACUACGUG